GGGUUGUGAGGUUAAGCGACUAAGCGUACACGGUGGAUGCCCUGGCAGUCAGAGGCGAUGAAGGGCGUGCUAAUCUGCGAUAAGCGCCGGUAAGGUGAUAUGAACCGUUAUAACCGGCGAUACCCGAAUGGGGAAACCCAGUGUGAUUCGUCACACUAUCAUUAACUGAAUCCAUAGGUUAAUGAGGCGAACCGGGGGAACUGAAACAUCUAAGUACCCCGAGGAAAAGAAAUCAACCGAGAUUCCCCCAGUAGCGGCGAGCGAACGGGGAGGAGCCCAGAGCCUGAAUCAGCAUGUGUGUUAGUGGAAGCGUCUGGAAAGGCGCGCGAUACAGGGUGACAGCCCCGUACACAAAAGCGCAUGUGCUGUGAGCUCGAUGAGUAGGGCGGGACACGUGGUAUCCUGUCUGAAUAUGGGGGGACCAUCCUCCAAGGCUAAAUACUCCUGACUGACCGAUAGUGAACCAGUACCGUGAGGGAAAGGCGAAAAGAACCCCGGCGAGGGGAGUGAAAAAGAACCUGAAACCGUGUACGUACAAGCAGUGGGAGCACCCUUCGGGGUGUGACUGCGUACCUUUUGUAUAAUGGGUCAGCGACUUAUAUUCUGUAGCAAGGUUAACCGUAUAGGGGAGCCGGAGGGAAACCGAGUCUUAAUUGGGCGUUAAGUUGCAGGGUAUAGACCCGAAACCCGGUGAUCUAGCCAUGGGCAGGUUGAAGGUUGGGUAACACUAACUGGAGGACCGAACCGACUAAUGUUGAAAAAUUAGCGGAUGACCUGUGGCUGGGGGUGAAAGGCCAAUCAAACCGGGAGAUAGCUGGUUCUCCCCGAAAGCUAUUUAGGUAGCGCCUCGUGAAUUCAUCUCCGGGGGUAGAGCACUGUUUCGGCUAGGGGGCCAUCCCGGCUUACCAACCCGAUGCAAACUGCGAAUACCGGAGAAUGUUAUCACGGGAGACACACGGCGGGUGCUAACGUCCGUCGUGAAGAGGGAAACAACCCAGACCGCCAGCUAAGGUCCCAAAGUCAUGGUUAAGUGGGAAACGAUGUGGGAAGGCCCAGACAGCCAGGAUGUUGGCUUAGAAGCAGCCAUCAUUUAAAGAAAGCGUAAUAGCUCACUGGUCGAGUCGGCCUGCGCGGAAGAUGUAACGGGGCUAAACCAUGCACCGAAGCUGCGGCAGCGAACGUAUCACCCAAGACAACUUUACGGAGUUGACGAUUGACGGAGCGAAGCGACGUCAAAGCGUUCAUUAAAGUCGAGUUGGCUUAGGGAUACGUUCGUUGGGUAGGGGAGCGUUCUGUAAGCCUGUGAAGGUGUGUCGUGAGGCAUGCUGGAGGUAUCAGAAGUGCGAAUGCUGACAUAAGUAACGAUAAAGCGGGUGAAAAGCCCGCUCGCCGGAAGACCAAGGGUUCCUGUCCAACGUUAAUCGGGGCAGGGUGAGUCGACCCCUAAGGCGAGGCCGAAAGGCGUAGUCGAUGGGAAACGGGUUAAUAUUCCCGUACUUGGUGUUACUGCGAAGGGGGGACGGAGAAGGCUAUGUUGGCCGGGCGACGGUUGUCCCGGUUUAAGCGUGUAGGUGUGUGUUCCAGGUAAAUCCGGUUCACUUUAACACUGAGGCGUGACGACGAGGCACUACGGUGCUGAAGCAACAAAUGCCCUGCUUCCAGGAAAAGCCUCUAAGCAUCAGGUAACACGAAAUCGUACCCCAAACCGACACAGGUGGUCAGGUAGAGAAUACCAAGGCGCUUGAGAGAACUCGGGUGAAGGAACUAGGCAAAAUGGUGCCGUAACUUCGGGAGAAGGCACGCUGACAC
rnacentral:rRNA from 1 species